CUCGACAAGGGAUAUCUCGGCUCUCGCAUCGAUAAAAAAUGUAGUGAAAUGCGAUACUUGGUGUGAAUUGCAGAAUCCCAUGAACCAUUGAGUAUUUGAACGCAAGGUUCGGACCGAAGCUUUCUGGCUGAGGGCACGUCUUCCUGGGCAUCACG
rnacentral:rRNA from 1 species